rnacentral:rRNA from 1 species
CCUACGGGUGGCAGCAGUAGGGAAUCUUCGGCAAUGGACGAAAGUCUGACCGAGCAACGCCGCGUGAGUGAAGAAGGUUUUCGGAUCGUAAAACUCUGUUGUUAGAGAAGAACAAGGACGUUAGUAACUGAACGUCCCCUGACGGUAUCUAACCAGAAAGCCACGGCUAACUACGUGCCAGCAGCCGCGGUAAUACGUAGGUGGCAAGCGUUGUCCGGAUUUAUUGGGCGUAAAGCGAGCGCAGGCGGUUUCUUAAGUCUGAUGUGAAAGCCCCCGGCUCAACCGGGGAGGGUCAUUGGAAACUGGGAGACUUGAGUGCAGAAGAGGAGAGUGGAAUUCCAUGUGUAGCGGUGAAAUGCGUAGAUAUAUGGAGGAACACCAGUGGCGAAGGCGGCUCUCUGGUCUGUAACUGACGCUGAGGCUCGAAAGCGUGGGGAGCAAACAGGAUUAGAUACCCCGGUAGUC